rnacentral:rRNA from 1 species
CCGUACGAGCGCACCCUUAUCCCUUGGUUGCCAGCACGUAAUGGUGGGAACUCUAGGGAGACUGCCGGUGACAAACCGGAGGAAGGCGGGGACGAUGUCAAGUCAUCAUGGCCCUUACGAGUAGGGCUACACGCGUGCUACAAUGGUUGGUACAAAGAGAAGCUAAGCGGUGACGUGGAGCAAAUCUCAAAAAGCCAAUCGUAGUCCGGAUUGAAGUCUGCAACUCGACUUCAUGAAGCUGGAAUCGCUAGUAAUCGCAGAUCAGAAUGCUGCGGUGAAUACGUUCUCGGGCCUUGUACACACCGCCCGUCAUACCACGGGAGUGGGUUGCACCAGAAGUAGGUAGGCUAACCGUAAGGAGGCCGCUUACCACGGUGUGGUUCAUGACUGGGGUAAAGUCGUAACAAGGUAGCCGUAGGGGAACCUGUGGCUGGAUCACCUCCUUU